AAAAAUAUUUUUUUUUUGACAAAUUUUCUUAACUUAAAAGGGCAUUUUGGUCAUUUUUCUAGACUCAAAUAUUGAUUUCUAACGGAGUUAGCCGAAAAGACCAAUUAUACAACGUUUUUAAACUAUAAAUACAACCAUAUUAACUAUUUUCAAAGUUAUAGUGCAACUUACGUUUUUGAUAUUUUAAAAACCGUAGGAACUCUAUUUUCAGUUACCACCACACAAUAUUAGUUGCCUUUAAAAACCACAGGAACUCUAUUAAUUGCCUUUAAAAACCACAGGAAUUCUAUUUUCAGUUCACAUGGUCAUUAUGGUAAUUUCAAUUCAAAACGUCCCCUACCACCACAAAGUAUCAAUUGCCUUUGCCUAGCUAGUGGUUAGGAGAAUAAUUCUAUUUUGAUUAUUUUCACCCACUUUUGGCCUAUUCGAUUAUUCUAUUUGAUUAUAUGAUUAUUGUUAUAUAAAACAAAAUUUUAUUAAUAUCAUUAAGUUGUUAUGGCCUUUUUAUUCGUAUUAUUGUAUCAUAUUUUAAAAAUAAUCAAGCGACCCACUAUUAUAAUGUCCAAAAUGUCCCUGUUUCCAUCUUCGGAAGGUAACAUUAAAAGAAUGUGUUGGAAGUUAAACAAAAAGGGUAUCUAUUAUCUAGUGUCUUUUUUUCCUUCGAAAAGGGAUAUAUACCCUUUGCUUUACGGGUCCCCAAUGGCAUCAUCUUAAAGGCUACAAUAAAAAAAGAACAUCAUAUUGUGUUUCACAUUGGACACGAGCGAUUAAACAUUGUAUAUGUCAAAUACUAAAAAGAUAACAAUUCUGCCAAAAUAAGUUAUAUAUUAACCAUUUAUACAUAUAUUCUUUGCUACAUACC
rnacentral:lncRNA from 1 species